rnacentral:rRNA from 1 species
AAUAGAUACCCUGGUAGUCCACGCCGUAAACGAUGAGUGCUAAGUGUUAGGGGGUUUCCGCCCCUUAGUGCUGCAGCUAACGCAUUAAGCACUCCGCCUGGGGAGUACGGCCGCAAGGCUGAAACUCAAAGGAAUUGACGGGGGCCCGCACAAGCGGUGGAGCAUGUGGUUUAAUUCGAAGCAACGCGAAGAACCUUACCAGGUCUUGACAUCUCCUGACCGCCCUGGAGACAGGGUCUUCCCUUCGGGGACAGGAUGACAGGUGGUGCAUGGUUGUCGUCAGCUCGUGUCGUGAGAUGUUGGGUUAAGUCCCGCAACGAGCGCAACCCUUGUCCUUAGUUGCCAGCAUUCAGUUGGGCACUCUAAGGAGACUGCCGGCUAAAAGUCGGAGGAAGGUGGGGAUGACGUCAAAUCAUCAUGCCCCUUAUGACCUGGGCUACACACGUGCUACAAUGGGCGGUACAGAGGGUCGCGAACCCGCGAGGGGGAGCCAAUCCCAAAAAACCGCUCUCAGUUCGGAUUGCAGG